rnacentral:rRNA from 1 species
AGAGUUUGAUCCUGGCUCAGGACAACGCUGGCGGCAUGCCUAACACAUGCAAGUCGAACGGAGUAAUGACUUCGGUAUUACUUAGUGGCGAACGGGUGAGUAACACGUGAAUAAUCUGCCCUGUACGAUGGGAUAACAGCUGGAAACGGCUGCUAAUACCGUAUAUGACCACGCCGAGGCAUCUCGGAGGGGUGAAAGCGCUUAAGCGGUACAGGAUGAGUUCGCGUCCAAUUAGCUAGUUGGUGAGGUAACGGCCCCACCAAGGCGACGAUUGGUAGCCGACCUGAGAGGGUGAUCGGCCACACUGGAACUGAGACACGGUCCAGACUCCUACGGGAGGCAGCAGUGGGGAAUAUUGGGCAAUGGGGGAAACUCCUUACCCAGCAAUGCCGCGUGAGUGAUGAAGGUCUUCGGAUUGUAAAGCUCUUUGAUUGGGGACGAAUAAAUGACGGUACCCAAGGAACAAGCCCCGGCUAACUAUGUGCCAGCCGCGGC